rnacentral:rRNA from 1 species
UACGAAGGGGGGCUAGCGUUGCUCGGAAUUACUGGGCGUAAAGGGCGCGUAGGCGGACAGUUUUAGUCAGAGGUGAAAGCCCAGGGCUCAACCUUGGAAUUGCCUUUUGAUACUGGGCUGUCUUGAGUUCGGGAGAGGUGAGUGGAAUGCCGAGUGUAGAGGUGAAAUUCGUAGAUAUUCGGCGGAACACCAGUGGCGAAGGCGACUCACUGGCCCGAGUACUGACGCUGAGGCGCGAAAGCGUGGGGAGCAAACAGGGAUU